AAACUGAUAAGUAAGCGACUGAGACUUAGGCAAGUACUCUGGAAUAACGAAGUCAAUGUGCUCAAUCUCAAUAAUUUCAUCAACUACUUUAUGAUCUUCAACAAUUUGAAAGCAGUCGGGUGGCGUGGUUUCUUUUAGUUGCUCCUCACUUGCAACCUCUAUAUGCUCAAUUUGUUUAACAGCCUCAAUUGAAUCUUCCGUUACUUGUUUAACCUCCUCAAUUGAAUCUUCC
rnacentral:lncRNA from 1 species